GACGAACGCUGGCGGCGUGCUUAACACAUGCAAGUCGAACGGAAGGGCCCUGCUUUUGUGGGGUGCUCGAGUGGCGAACGGGUGAGUAACACGUGAGUAACCUGCCCUUGACUUUGGGAUAACUUCAGGAAACUGGGGCUAAUACCGGAUAGGAGCUCCUGCUGCAUGGUAGGGGUUGGAAAGUUUCGGCGGUUGGGGAUGGACUCGCGGCUUAUCAGCUUGUUGGUGGGGUAGUGGCUUACCAAGGCUUUGACGGGUAGCCGGCCUGAGAGGGUGACCGGCCACAUUGGGACUGAGAUACGGCCCAGACUCCUACGGGAGGCAGCAGUGGGGAAUAUUGCACAAUGGGCGGAAGCCUGAUGCAGCAACGCCGCGUGCGGGAUGACGGCCUUCGGGUUGUAAACCGCUUUCGCCUGUGACGAAGCGUGAGUGACGGUAAUGGGUAAAGAAGCACCGGCUAACUACGUG
rnacentral:rRNA from 1 species